AGCAUAUCAAUAAGCGGAGGAAAAGAAACCAACAGGGAUUGCCCUAGUAACGGCGAGUGAAGCGGCAACAGCUCAAAUUUGAAAUCUGGCCCUUGGGUCCGAAUUGUAAUUUGUAGAGGAUGAUUUUGGUGCGGUAUCUUCCGAGUUCCUUGGAACAGGACGCCUUAGAGGGUGAGAGCCCCGUACGGUUGAAUGCCUAGCCUCUGUAAAUCUCCUUCGACGAGUCGAGUAGUUUGGGAAUGCUGCUCUAAAUGGGAGGUAAAUUUCUUCUAAAGCUAAAUACUGGCCAGAGACCGAUAGCGCACAAGUAGAGUGAUCGAAAGAUGAAAAGCACUUUGAAAAGAGGGUUAAAUAGCACGUGAAAUUGUUGAAAGGGAAGGAUUUAUGACCAGACUUUUUCUGGGCGGAUCAUCCGGUGUUCUCACCGGUGCACUUUGCCCAGUUUAGGCCAGCAUCGAUUUUCGGAGAGGGAUAAAAGCUUUGGGAAUGUGGCUCCCCCGGGAGUGUUAUAGCCCAUUGUAUAAUACCUUUUUGGGGAUCGAGGUACGCGCUUCUGCAAGGAUGCUGGCGUAAUGGUUAUCAAUCACCCGUCUUGAAACACGGACCAAGGAGUCGAACAUUUGUGCGAGUGUUUGGGUGUUAAACCCUCACGCGUAAUGAAAGUGAACGGAGGUGAGAGCCCUUACGGGUGCAUCAUCGACCGAUCCUGAAGUUUUCGGAUGGAUUUGAGUAAGAGCAUAACUGUUCGGACCCGAAAGAUGGUGAACUAUGCGUGGAUAGGGUGAAGCCAGAGGAAACUCUGGUGGAGGCUCGCAGCGGUUCUGACGUGCAAAUCGAUCGUCAAAUCUGCGCAUGGGGGCGAAAGACUAAUCGAACCAUCUAGUAGCUGGUUACCGCCGAAGUUUCCCUCAGGAUAGCAGUGUUGUCUUCAGUUUUAUGAGGUAAAGCGAAUGAUUAGGGACUCGGGGGCGCUUUUUAGCCUUCAUCCAUU
rnacentral:rRNA from 1 species